UUUCAUUGAAGCUUCGGCAGAUUUGGUCUGUUUCUAGUGGCGGACGGGUGAGUAACGCGUGGGUAACCUGCCUUAUACAGGGGGAUAACAGCCAGAAAUGGUUGCUAAUACCGCAUAAGCGCACAGGACCGCAUGGUCCGGUGUGAAAAACUCCGGUGGUAUAAGAUGGACCCGCGUUGGAUUAGCUAGUUGGCAGGGUAACGGCCUACCAAGGCGACGAUCCAUAGCCGGCCUGAGAGGGUGAACGGCCACAUUGGGACUGAGACACGGCCCAGACUCCUACGGGAGGCAGCAGUGGGGAAUAUUGCACAAUGGGGGAAACCCUGAUGCAGCGACGCCGCGUGAAGGAAGAAGUAUCUCGGUAUGUAAACUUCUAUCAGCAGGGAAGAUAGUGACGGUACCUGACUAAGAAGCCCCGGCUAACUACGUGCCAGCAGCCGCGGUAAUACGUAGGGGGCAAGCGUUAUCCGGAUUUACUGGGUGUAAAGGGAGCGUAGACGGACUGGCAAGUCUGAUGUGAAAGGCGGGGGCUCAACCCCUGGACUGCAUUGGAAACUGUUAGUCUUGAGUGCCGGAGAGGUAAGCGGAAUUCCUAGUGUAGCGGUGAAAUGCGUAGAUAUUAGGAGGAACACCAGUGGCGAAGGCGGCUUACUGGAC
rnacentral:rRNA from 1 species